rnacentral:snRNA from 1 species
AGCUUUGCACAGUGGCAGUAUUGUAGCCAGUGAGGUUUAUCUGAGGCAUGAUUAUUGUUAAUUAAAAACGUUUCCCAGUACCCCCCCAUGACAACUUGAAAUAUAGUUGGCAAUAAUUUUUUUUUUGAAAAAAA